rnacentral:rRNA from 1 species
GAUGAACGCUGGCGGCGUGCCUAAUACAUGCAAGUCGAGCGAAUGGAUUAAGAGCUUGCUCUUAUGAAGUUAGCGGCGGACGGGUGAGUAACACGUGGGUAACCUGCCCAUAAGACUGGGAUAACUCCGGGAAACCGGGGCUAAUACCGGAUAACGUUUUGAACCGCAUGGUUCGAAAUUGAAAGGCGGCUUCGGCUGUCACUUAUGGAUGGACCCGCGUCGCAUUAGCUAGUUGGUGAGGUAACGGCUCACCAAGGCAACGAUGCGUAGCCGACCUGAGAGGGUGAUCGGCCACACUGGGACUGGGACACGGCCCAGACUCCUACGGGAGGUAGCAGUAGGGAAUCUUCCGCAAUGGACGAAAGUCUGACGGAGCAACGCCGCGUGAGUGAUGAAGGCUUUCGGGUCGUAAAACUCUGUUGUUAGGGAAGAACAAGUGCUAGUUGAAUAAGCUGGCACCUUGACGGUACCUAACCAGAAAGCCACGGCUAACUACGUGCCAGCCGCCGCCGUAA